UGGCGGACGGGUGAGUAAUGUCUGGGAAACUGCCUGAUGGAGGGGGAUAACUACUGGAAACGGUAGCUAAUACCGCAUAACGUCGCAAGACCAAAGAGGGGGACCUCGGGCCUCUUGCCAUCGGAUGUGCCCAGAUGGGAUUAGCUAGUAGGUGGGGUAACGGCUCACCUAGGCGACGAUCCCUAGCUGGUCUGAGAGGAUGACCAGCCACACUGGAACUGAGACACGGUCCAG
rnacentral:rRNA from 1 species